rnacentral:rRNA from 1 species
UCGAACGCGAAAGUCCCGCAAGGGAUCAGUAGAGUGGCAAACGGGUGAGUAACACGUGGGUGACCUGCCUUCGAGUGGGGGAUAACGUCCCGAAAGGGACGCUAAUACCGCAUAACAUCCCGCCUUUUAACAGGUGGAUAUCAAAGCUGGGGAUCGCAAGACCUAGCGCUUGAAGAGGGGCCCGCGCCUGAUUAGCUAGUUGGUGGGGUAAUGGCUCACCAAGGCAACGAUCAGUAUCCGGCCUGAGAGGGCGGACGGACACACUGGGACUGAGACACGGCCCAGACUCCUACGGGAGGCAGCAGUGGGGAAUUGUUCGCAAUGGGCGCAAGCCUGACGACGCAACGCCGCGUGGAGGAUGAAGACCUUCGGGUCGUAAACUCCUUUCGAUCGAGACGAAUGGCCUCCGGGUGAACAAUCCGGAGGAGUGACGGUACCGAGAGAAGAAGCCCCGGCUAACUCCGUGCCAGCAGCCGCGGUAAUACGGGGGGGGCAAGCGUUGUUCGGAAUUACUGGGCGUAAAGGGCUCGUAGGUGGCCAACUAAGUCAGACGUGAAAUCCCUCGGCUUAACCGGGGAACUGCGUCUGAUACUGGAUGGCUUGAGUUUGGGAGAGGGACGCGGAAUUCCAGGUGUAGCGGUGAAAUGCGUAGAUAUCUGGAGGAACACCGGUGGCGAAGGCGGCGUCCUGGACCACACUGACACUGAGGAGCGAAAGC